CACGUAGGGGCCAAGCGUUGUCCGGAUUCAUUGGGCGUAAAGAGCUCGUAGGCGGUUCAGUCAGUCGGGUGUGAAAUCUCCGGGCUCAACUCGGAGGGGCCACCCGAUACUGCUGUGACUCGAGUCCGGUAGGGGAGUGGGGAAUUCCUGGUGUAGCGGUGAAAUGCGCAGAUAUCAGGAGGAACACCGGUGGCGAAGGCGGUUCUCUGGGCAUUACCUGACGCUGAGGAGCGAAAGUGUGGGGAGCGAACAGG
rnacentral:rRNA from 1 species